rnacentral:miRNA from 1 species
UUAGAGGAAAAUACCCCUGG